ACAGUGACAGAGUUAGGGAGGGAGUGACUAGUGACAGAGAGGGAUGGAGUGACUAGUGACAGAGAGGGAUGGGGUGACUAGUGACAGUCACCCCCUCCCUCUGUCACUAGUCACUCCCUCCCUAGUCAUUCCCUCCCUCUGUCACUAGUCACCUCCUCCCUCCCUCACUUUGCCACUAGUCAUCUUUCCUCCCUCCCCCACUCUGCCACUAGU